UACGAAGGGGGCUAGCGUUGUUCGGAAUUACUGGGCGUAAAGCGCACGUAGGCGGUGUUCCAUGUCAGAGGUGAAAGCCUGGGGCUCAACUCCAGAAUUGCCUUUGAAACGGGGACGCUUGAGUCCGAGAGAGGGUGGCGGAAUUCCUAGUGUAGAGGUGAAAUUCGUAGAUAUUAGGAAGAACACCAGUGGCGAAGGCGGCUCACUGGCCCGGUACUGACGCUGAGGUGCGAAAGCGUGGGGAGCAAACAGG
rnacentral:rRNA from 1 species